AGGAGGACACAGGGAAGUAGUAGUUAAAGGGGUCCUAGGACAAAGGGUAGGCAGGAAAGACGUAAGCAAGUUCAGGGGCUGAAGGGAAAGGGGCAGUGGCGGGACAGAGGGGGCAGGAUCCUCAAGACCCUGAGGCAGGGGGUCCCACAUCUAGAAGCAGGAGUUCACGGAAAACCAACGGAGACCCUGGAAGGAAGGAAGAGACUGCAAGCAAAUUAAGCCCUGACCUCUACCAGAGCCUGAGUCACAGCAGAGGUAUCGGCAGCCUCCUCAAUUACAGCAGCAGCUGCAGCAGCCGCAGCAGCACUGCCACCCUUUCAUUGGUCACAUCUGCCCUCCUCGAGGUGCCGCACAGGAGGAGAGUCCAGCAUCCUGGUAAGUCCUGGAACACCAACCCCGGUUCUCCAGCCCCCUUGACACCCAGCUAA
rnacentral:lncRNA from 1 species